rnacentral:misc_RNA from 1 species
CCUUCCAUCUUGAAUGAUUG